AACGAACGCUGGCGGCGCGCCUAAUACAUGCAAGUCGAGCGAGAAGACGUAGCAAUACGUUUGUAAAGCGGCGAACGGGUGAGGAAUACAUGGGUAACCUACCCUCGAGUGGGGAAUAACUAGCCGAAAGGUUAGCUAAUACCGCGUACGCUCCUUGGACUUCGGUUCAGGGAGGAAAGCGAUACCGUGGGUAUCGCGCUCUUGGAUGGGCUCAUGUCCUAUCAGCUUGUUGGGAGGUAACGGCUCACCAAGGCUUCGACGGGUAGCUGGUCUGAGAGGACGAUCAGCCACACUGGCACUGCGACACGGGCCAGACUCCUACGGGAGGCAGCAGUAAGGAAUAUUGCGCAAUGGGCGAAAGCCUGACGCAGCGACGCCGCGUGGGGGAUGAAGGUCUUCGGAUU
rnacentral:rRNA from 1 species